CAAUCAUAGUUAGUACUGUAUCUAGGUGCAUAAAUGUACGUGUAUUAGGUAUUUCAAUAGCUACGAUUUUUUUAAAACUUGUGUUUGCAUCUUUGAAAAUAUUACGUGCUAACUUUUCUAUUGCUUGAGCUGAUGUACGUUCUGAUAUACCAAUAGCUAAAACAUCUUUCGAUAAUACUAAUUCAUCUCCACCUUCAAUAUUAAAUGGUGAGUUACGAUCUAACCAUACUGGUACAUCUUUAUCUUUAAAUCUUGGAUGAUGUUUCAGUAUAUAUGUCAUAAAAAUAGAUUCUCUACGUCGUGCUCUCCAAUACAUUCUGUUAAUUGUCAUUCCUCUACCAAUUGAAGCUUGGGGAUCUCUUGUAAAAUAAAGGUUGGGCAUUGGAUCUAAGUAAAAUGGAUAUCUAUCAUCCAUAUAUUCUACUAAAUGGGUUGUUUCAAGUUGAAUUUCUUCUUUACGUACGCCAGCCAUGAUUUUAUUUACAAGUUCUUGGUCAGAUAACUUUGAAAAGAAUUCUUUAAUUUCAGUUUCAUGACCUAAUAUUGUCUUUUUAGAUUCUGUUAAUAUGUCGUUUAUGAAGUUCUCGCGUACUUCUGGCUCAGUAAUAGAUUCUGCUGCAAGUUUUUCU
rnacentral:snRNA from 1 species